rnacentral:rRNA from 1 species
GGGUGCUAUCAUACCAGUACUAAUGCACUGGAUCCCAUUGGAACUCCGAAGUUAAGCGUGCUUGGGCAAAAGUAGUACUAAGAUGGGCUUUAUCAAAGGACUUUCACAAAUACAGGCA